rnacentral:lncRNA from 1 species
AAAAAUAAAAAAAAUUAUGAAAAAAGUUUAAAUAUUUAAAUCAAAUUAAAGUAUAAUAAUAAUUAAAUACAAAAAGAUGUGGUAUCACUGUCAAUGAGACAACUAUCCACAAAAACUAAAAUGAAACUGGCAUUAACAACUACAUGUAUAGGUCACCGUACGGCUUUCAACAAUGAGCAAAGCCCAUACCGCAUAGUCGGCUAUAAAAGGCCCCGAUAAGACAAAUGUAAAACAAUAAACGAGAAAAAAAUGGCCAAAUUAAUGUACAAAAAAAUGAACGAAAAACAAAUGUGUAACACAGCAACAAACGACAAC